rnacentral:tRNA from 1 species
GCGGGAGUGGCGGAACUGGCAGACGCGCUGGACUUAGGAUCCAGUGCCCUCGUGGCGUGCGGGUUCGACUCCCGCCUCCCGCACCA